rnacentral:rRNA from 1 species
AACAGGAUUAGAUACCCUGGUAGUCCACGCCGUAAACGAUGUCGACUUGGAGGUUGUGCCCUUGAGGCGUGGCUUCCGGAGCUAACGCGUUAAGUCGACCGCCUGGGGAGUACGGCCGCAAGGUUAAAACUCAAAUGAAUUGACGGGGGCCCGCACAAGCGGUGGAGCAUGUGGUUUAAUUCGAUGCAACGCGAAGAACCUUACCUACUCUUGACAUCCAGAGAACUUAGCAGAGAUGCUCUGGUGCCUUCGGGAACUCUGAGACAGGUGCUGCAUGGCUGUCGUCAGCUCGUGUUGUGAAAUGUUGGGUUAAGUCCCGCAACGAGCGCAACCCUUAUCCUUUGUUGCCAGCGGUUAGGCCGGGAACUCAAAGGAGACUGCCAGUGAUAAACUGGAGGAAGGUGGGGAUGACGUCAAGUCAUCAUGGCCCUUACGAGUAGGGCUACACACGUGCUACAAUGGCAUAUACAAAGAGAAGCGACCUCGCGAGAGCAAGCGGACCUCAUAAAGUAUGUCGUAGUCCGGAUUGGAGUCUGCAACUCGACUCCAUGAAGUCGGAAUCGCUAGUAAUCGUGGAUCAGAAUGCCACGGUGAAUACGUUCCCGGGCCUUGUACACACCGCCCGUCACACCAUGGGAGUGGGUUGCAAAAGAAGUAGGUAGCUUAACCUUCGGGAGGGCGCUUACCACUUUGUGAUUCAUGACUGGGGUGAAGUCGUAACAAGGUAACC